rnacentral:tRNA from 1 species
UAUGGCAGAUUAGUGCAAAGGAUUUAAAAUCCUUAUACAAAGAUUUUCAAUCUUUUAUUAAAA